rnacentral:piRNA from 1 species
UUGGGAAAGGUGCACUCAUGGAAAUGCCCA